CCUACGGGAGGCAGCAGUGAGGAAUAUUGGUCAAUGGGCGCGAGCCUGAACCAGCCAAGUCGCGUGAGGGAGGACGGCCCUACGGGUUGUAAACCUCUUUUGCCGGGGAGCAACGGGCGUCUCGUGUGGCGCCACUGAGAGUCCCCGGAGAAAAAGCAUCGGCUAACUCCGUGCCAGCAGCCGCGGUAAUACGGAGGAUGCGAGCGUUAUGCGGAUUUAUUGGGUUUAAAGGGUGCGCAGGCGGGAGAGCAAGUCAGCGGUAAAAUGUCGGGGCUCAACCCCGGGCGGCCGUUGAAACUGGUGGUCUAGAGUUGGGGAGAGGUAUGCGGAAUUCGUGGUGUAGCGGUGAAAUGCAUAGAUAUCACGAAGAACACCGGUUGCGAAGGCAGCAUACCGGCUCCAUACUGACGCUGAGGCACGAAAGCGUGGGGAGCGAACAGGAUUAGAUACCCGGGUAGUC
rnacentral:rRNA from 1 species